rnacentral:ncRNA from 1 species
CAUUGUGAAGAGUCAUGAGAGGUGUAGCAUAGGUGGGAGACUUCGGUCGUCAAUGAAAUACCACCACUUUCAUCGAUUCUUUACUUAUCCGGUGACCAGUUCGUUUUUAAAAUAUUUACAAAAGAGUCGUGGACGCAAACUUAUGCUUUAACCUAGUAAUAUGUUUCAACGCUGGAGAGAUGG